CAGCAGAAAGGAGAACAAGAAAAGUGAAAUGAAACAGAACAUCCAGGCGAUGUGUCAUUUAACCGUAUUUUCUGAACGAUACCCAAACAAGACUCAUCAAAUGAGAAGAAGUUGAAUAUGUUGUCAAUUUUUCCAUCUCAAGCAAGUCUUUGACAGAAACUGAGCAUGAAACAUCUCCCUUUGCAGGUCACGGGGUCGCUGGAGCCAACCCAGCAACUGUUGGGCAAAGAGGCGGUUCACCCUGGACAGAUCGUCAGUUUUUUUUGCAGGGCCAAACAAUCACACCUAGUGACAAUUUAGAUUUCCCCCUACAAAGUAUGUUGUUGGAUUGUGGGAGGAAAACCCACACAAGCAAAACACACAAACUCCACACAGAAAGGACCCAGAUGGGAUUUGAACCAGCGCCUUCUGACUGAGGCCACAGUGCCCCAGAGAUGUAAACUUGAGACUGUUGUUUUUCAUUUUGUGAUUUAAAAAUACAAGAAAAUGUGUAACUUUUUUUGACAAUAAGUCUAACUUAACUAUAAAGGUGAAGUUUACUAGUACUUAAGUAAUUUCUUCACCGUUUUACUCCUACUUAAGUCGAAUGACUGUUUUUACUUGUCUUGCAUUGAUUUAAAGGAUAAGUGUUUACUUUUAUAAAUCACAGUCAACGCAGUAAAUAAACAAACUGCUUGUCUUUUUGGCUUUGGUUUCACUGAUUGACCAAAUAAAUGGGAGGCUUUCUCCAUGUUUCCUGGAUCGAAACCACAA